UUGAUUGAGAGGCUGUCAUCUUAUUUUAAUCUCCCUGAUCAGCUUCUCUUGCUGAUUUUAAACUUCCUCACUAAGAGGAUCCAGCAGGUUUUAGCUAAUUGUAAGAUGUCCU